AGCAUAAGAUACUUCAACCAUGCUCAGAAAUGCCCCCCCUCGUCUAACCACAGGGAUAAACACUGAGCUAUUCUGCUCACUGAUGGGCUGAGGCCAAUAUUGGCACUGUGGAGGGGACUUUGAGAGUCCACGGUUAGAGUUCUAAUUAAGCUCCAGAGCAGAGAGAGGUCAUUGUAGAAAGUAUCAAGUUGGACCCUCUUUCCACCCAUCAUCUGAUUGGUUCAGGAAGAGCAGUGUCACCAAAGGGGAAAAUCUGGGACAGUGUCACCACAGGGGAAAAGCUGGGUAAAACCUGCUGCCUCCAUACACCUCCCAGGAAACAAAGCUAGACACAA